ACACGACUACAUUAGAUACCCCCGUAGUCCUAGCCGUAAACGAUACUCGCUAGGUGUCGGCCACGGUGCGACCGUUGUCGGCGCCGUAGGGAAGCCGUGAAGCGAGCCACCUGGGAAGUACGGCCGCAAGGCUGAAACUUAAAGGAAUUGGCGGGGGAGCACAACAACGGGUGGAGCUUGCGGUUUAAUUGGAUUCAACGCCGGAAAUCUUACCGGGACCGACAGCAACAUGAAGGCCAAGCUGAAGACUUUGCCGGAUUAGCUG
rnacentral:rRNA from 1 species